AGCCAGACUCCUACGGGAGGCAGCAGUGGGGAAUAUUGGGUAAUGGGCGCAAGCCUGACCCAGCAACGCCGCGUGAAGGAAGAAGGCCCCCGGGUUGUAAACUUCUUUUAUCAGGGACGAAACAAAUGACGGUACCUGAUGAAUAAGCCACGGCUAACUACGUGCCAGCAGCCGCGGUAAUACGUAGGUGGCAAGCGUUAUCCGGAUUUACUGGGUGUAAAGGGCGUGUAGGCGGGUCUGCAAGUCAGAUGUGAAAACCAUGGGCUCAACCUGUGGCCUGCAUUUGAAACUGUAGUUCUUGAGUACUGGAGAGGCAGACGGAAUUCCUAGUGUAGCGGUGAAAUGCGUAGAUAUUAGGAGGAACACCAGUGGCGAAGGCGGCCUGCUGGACGGAGACUGACGCUGAGGCUCGAAAGCGUGGGGAGCAAACAGGAUUAGAUACCCCAGUA
rnacentral:rRNA from 1 species